rnacentral:rRNA from 1 species
GAAAGUUACUUCGGUACAUCGGUGACAGGUGGUGCAUGGUUGUCGUCAGCUCGUGUCGUGAGAUGUUGGGUUAAGUCCGCAACGAGCGCAACCCCUAUUGUUAGUUGCCAUCAUUCAGUUGGGCACUCUAGCGAGACUGCCGGUAAUAAACCGGAGGAAGGUGGGGAUGACGUCAAAUCAUCAUGCCCCUUAUGACCUGGGCUACACACGUGCUACAAUGGUUGGUACAACGAGUUGCGAGUCGGUGACGGCGAGCUAAUCUCUUAAAGCCAAUCUCAGUUCGGAUUGUAGGCUGCAACUCGCCUACAUGAAGUCGGAAUCGCUAGUAAUCGCGGAUCAGCACGCCGCGGUGAAUACGUUCCCGGGCCUU